UAUAUACUCCCUCCGUUCAAUAAAAGAUGUCUCAAGUUUGUCAAAGUUUGGAUGUAUCUGGACAUGACUUAGUGUAUAAAUGCAUUCAAAUUUAGUCAAAGUUGAGACAUCCUUUGUUGGACAGAGAGAGUAAUUA
rfam:Brachypodium distachyon strain Bd21 chromosome 5, whole genome shotgun sequence.